rnacentral:rRNA from 1 species
UACGUAGGGUGCGAGCGUUGUCCGGAAUUAUUGGGCGUAAAGAGCUCGUAGGCGGUCUGUCGCGUCGAUCGUGAAAACUUGGGGCUUAACCCUGAGCUUGCGGUCGAUACGGGCAUGACUGGAGUUCGGCAGGGGAGACUGGAAUUCCUGGUGUAGCGGUGAAAUGCGCAGAUAUCGGGAGGAAUACCGAUGGCGAAGGCAGGUCUCUGGGCUGACACUGACGCUCAUGCACGAAAGCGUGGGGAGCAAACAGG